rnacentral:rRNA from 1 species
GACGAACGCUGGCGGCGUGCUUAACACAUGCCAGUCGAACGAAGAGCGGUGGAAGCUUGCUUCUAUCAAUCUUAGUGGCGAACGGGUGAGUAACGCGUAAUCAACCUGCCCUUCAGAGGGGGACAACAGUUGGAAACGACUGCUAAUACCGCAUACGAUCUAAUCUCGGCAUCGAGGAUAGAUGAAAGGUGGCCUCUACAUGUAAGCUAUCACUGAAGGAGGGGAUUGCGUCUGAUUAGCUAGUUGGAGGGGUAACGGCCCACCAAGGCGAUGAUCAGUAGCCGGUCUGAGAGGAUGAACGGCCACAUUGGGACUGAGACACGGCCCAGACUCCUACGGGAGGCAGCAGUGGGGAAUCUUCCGCAAUGGACGAAAGUCUGACGGAGCAACGCCGCGUGAGCGAUGACGGCCUUCGGGUUGGAAAGCUCUGUUAAUCGGGACGAAAGGCCUUCUUGCGAAUAGUGAGAAGGAUUGACGGUACCGGAAUAGAAAGCCACGGCUAACUACGUG